rnacentral:lncRNA from 1 species
GGCCAACAUGGCGGCGCCCAGCAGCGACACGGAGCCGGCCGGGGGUCCUCGGCCUGCUGCCUGAGCAGGUAGGUCUCGCUUCGGAAGGCGAACCCGAACCAUUGGGAUGCCGGGCGUUCAGUUCCGGGCUUGGCAGUGCGGAAGGACAGCGUCAGAGAGACCCGGCUGCAAGGCCAGGGCGCUAUGACCUCUUGGGGUGCGGGGCGGGUACGUGCCGGGAAAGGUUGCCGUCCUGUGCUACCUGCCUCACUCCCUAAUCUUUGCAGAUGGGAUAGGUGACUCAGAAGGUAAGGCUCUCGCUCGAGGUCACACAGCAAGUUGUCACUGAGGCGGGAAUUGGAAUCUGCGUCUGGCUGUUUCUUCAAGGGACGCUGAAUCCUGGCAGCCAGCCUCAGAGUUCAGGUUUGUAAAAGCUUACCGCUUAUUCCCCUUUAAUUGAUAUUUGUUGAGCAUUUACCACGUGCCAGGUACUGCCCUGGAUGCCAGACACACAAUAGUGAGCAGGACAGACAAAAUCUCCCAUUUCUUGGGGGAGCCAAACAUCGAACAAGUUAGAAAUAAAGAAACGAAAUAGGUGAAUUCAGAUAUUGGUAGUUGCUAAAAAUGCAUUAAUCAGAGUGAUGAAUAGAGACCAGAAUGAACAGAGACGGCAUGGGAGACCUGGAGGAAGAAAGUUCUAGGCGGAGGGAAGAGCAAGUGCAAAGACUCUGAGACUGUAGUAAACUUGGUUUGUUUCAUAAACAACAUAACUGGAACUGAGAGUAGUACGAGUUUUGUUUAAAGGGAAGACUCUGGCUGAUUUUAAGUUUGAGAUACCAUUAAAAAUUUUAGGUGUAGAGCCCUGAAUUUAGUUUAUAUUUUUAAAAGCUCUCUCUGGCCAUAGAGGGAGAACUGACUGGAAGGUAGGAAUGGGUAGGUAUCUAGUAAAGAGAGCACAUCUAUUGGGGCAUUGGCCUGCAGGUGAAAGAAAUGGGCGCAUUUGGUAUGGAUUUAGAAAUAGUCAACAGGACUAGUUGAUGGCUUAAUUGGGGGAGUGAGGGUCUUAGUAGACUUCCAAAUGACUCCUAGGUUUGUGGCCUGAGUGACUAGGAAUGGUGGUACCAUUGAAUAGCAUUCAGAGGAAUAAGUUAAGCAGGGAUAUCAGUAUGGGACACAUUAAGUUUGGGAUGGCUGGGUAUGUGCCAGAGUGAUGGGAGGCUGGAAAUGAAUAUUUGGGAGCCAUAAGCACAUACAUCAUCACUUCUCAAACUUUAACACACAUAGGAUAUCUACAUGUGAAUGUUGUUAAAAUGCAGAUACUGAUUCAGUAGGUCUGAGUUAGGGCCAGGAUUUUGCAUUUCUAAUAAACUCCCAGUUGAUGCCAGUACUGCCAGACUCUGGAACACAUUUUGAGAAACAAAGGUUUAGAUUAUUAAUCUUAGUUGCAUGAUAGAGUCAUUGGGGUGCCUUAAAAUUCUGAUGCCUGGGCUCUACUUACAGUUACUCUAACUUAAUGUAUCUGGGAUAUGACCUGGGCAUAGGAUUUUAAAAACCCCCUAGAUUAUUCUAAUAUUAAUCAAGUUUAGGGACCACUGGAGUUACAUACAGGAAAUAUAUAUAGAGAAGAACAAAUUGAAUGACACCUCUGGGUAGCAGAUAGACAAAUCCAGAAUAUGAGACUCUGUAGCCUCAUUUUUCUUUUUUUUUUUUUUAAAGAGAGAGGAGAGAGAGAGAGAUGGAGAGAGAGAAUUUUUUAAAUAUUUAUUUCUUUUAGUUAUUGGCUGACACAACAUCUUUCUUUGUAUGUGGUGCUGAGGAUCGAACCCGGGCCGCACGCAUGCCAGGCGAGCGCGCUACCGCUUGAGCCACAUCCCCAGCCCCUGUAGCCUCAUUUUUCAAAAUGGUUUCUAGGCCACCAGCAUCAUCAUCACUCAGAAGCUUAUCAGAUGUUCAGACUAUGUCUCUACCUCAGACCUGCUGAAUCAGAACCUGCAUUUUAACAAGAUCCCAGGGGAUCUUUCUUGCAUCUUCAAGUUUGCAAGCUCUACAGACUUCAGAAAAGGAAGCAUGUCUUGCUGAUUGGCAGAAAAACAGAGACCUGGGUGUCCUGAAGAGAACCAAAAAUGUUAAAUGGGGAUGGUGGGAGAGGGAACUUAACUGUGUCAGACACUUUUGAGAAAUUAAGCAAGAUGAGACCUGAGAAGUAGCCACAUAGUGCUGGUAAGAUGUUGAACACACAGAGGCCUUUACAAGACUGGUGUCAUUGGAGUGAUUGGGGCAGUAGCCAAGUUGGUGAGUAAGGCAGAGAUACAGUAUGCAGACACCUCUUGGGAGAGAAACUUUGGUAUAAGAGGAGUAAGAGGCUAGAGGGAGACUUGGUCAAGAUGGCAGAUGGUUGAGGCUAUGGCUAUGGCUCAGUGGCAGAGUGCCUACCUUGCACAUGUGAGGCACUGGGUUUGAUUCUCAGCACCACAUAAAAAUAAAUAAACAAAAUAAAGAUACUAAAAAAAAAAAAAAAGAUGGGAGAUGGUGAGAUAAGAAUGAUCCAAAUUCAUUCUCUGAGGUUCUGAUAGAAAAUCUGGACACCAUAACAAAAUUAUGAACCAAUAUCUCUUUAUGAAUAUAGAUGUUAAAUUUCUCAAAAGCACUAGAACACAUACAGAAAGAAUUGUACAUCAUGACUAAGUAGAAUUUAUCUCAGAAAUGGAGGGUUAAUUUAACAUCUGAAAAUUAACUAAUCUAACACACUAUAGAAAACAAUAAGAGACAAAAACCACUGGAUUAUCUCAAUAGAUGCAGGAAAAGUCUUUUUUUUUUUAAUAUUUAUUUUUUAGUUUUAGGUGGACACAACAUCUUUAUUAUAUUUUUAUGUGGUGCUGAGAAUCAAACCCAAUGCCUCAUGCAUGCUAGGCAAGCGCGAUACCACUUGAGCCACAUCCUCAGCCCCAGGAAAAGUCUUUAACAAAAUUCAAUAUCCUUUCUGACAAAAACAUUCAACAAACUAUGAAUAGAAAGGAAAUCCCACAAUACAAUAAAGGUCAUCUAUGAACACAUGUAGCUAACAUCAUACAUCAUGUUGAAAGAUUGGCUAUGGGACUGGGGUUGUGGCUCGCUGAGGUUGCAGAUCACUCACCUAGCAUGUGUGAGGCCCUGGGUUCAAUCCUCAGCACCACAUAAAAAUAAAAUAAAGAUAUUGUGUCCAUCCACAACUAAAAAAUAAAAUAUUAAAAGAUUGGCUGUGUUCCUUCAAAGAUCAGAAGUAAGACAAGACUGUGUUUUCACCACUUCUGUACAAUAUUGUACAGGUGGUUCCAGCAGGGGUAUGGACAAGAAAAAGAAAAAGCAUCCAGAUUGGAAAGGAAGAGGUAAAACUCUCUCUAUUUGUAGAUUACUUGAUCUUAUAUAUAGAAAACUCCAAGGAAUUCAAUGGUGAAACUUUAAAACUAAUAUACAAGUUCAGCAAGAUAGCAGGAUAUGAGAUAAAAACAAAUUACAAUGCAAAAAGGAAAUUAAGAAAAAUUCUUCUUAUACAAUAGUGCUCUACCACUGAGCUAUAUCCCAGUCCUCCCUCCCUCCCUCCCUCCCUUCCUUCGUUCCUCCCUUCCUCCUCCUCCUCC